rnacentral:rRNA from 1 species
AAAGUCGUAACAAGGUCUCCGUUGGUGAACCAGCGGAGGGAUCGUUAUCGAGUUAUUCAACUCCCAAACCCUAUGUGAACUUACCACUUGUUGCUUCGGCGCGCGCUUCGGCGCCGCCGAGGACACUUAAACUCUUUGUUUUUAUAAGCAUUUCUGAGUGGCCGAAAGGCAAAAAUACAAAUGAAUCAAAACUUUCAACAACGGAUCUCUUGGUUCUGGCAUCGAUGAAGAACGCAGCGAAAUGCGAUAAGUAAUGUGAAUUGCAGAAUUCAGUGAAUCAUCGAAUCUUUGAACGCACAUUGCGCCCGCCAGCAUUCUGGCGGGCAUGCCUGUUCGAGCGUCAUUUCAACCCUCGAGCCCGACUCUUUUGAGGACGGCUCGGCGUUGGGGGACGGCAGACUCCCCCCGGCAUCUCGCCGGGGACGCCGCCCCCGAAAUCUAGUGGCGGCCCUCCGAGGCGACCUCUGCGUAGUAACUUGUUCUCGCACCGGAAAGCUCAGAGCGGCCACGCCGUAAAACCCCAACUUUUUUCAGGUUGACCUCGAAUCAGGUAGGACUACCCGCUGAACUUAAGCAUAUCAAUA